rnacentral:misc_RNA from 1 species
AGUAUCUCCAUUCUUGAGCCAGUCCGGGAUGGGUCCAGAAAGCAAGUUGCUUGUCAGAUACACAUUCUCCAAUUCUGUUAGACCUUCAAGAUCUCUUGAAAGAUUUCCUUCCAAUUUGUUGAAGCUAAGAUCUAAAAUUUUCAGGUUUGGCCUUGCUCCGAUAUACAGUGGGAUAGAUCCAUAUAUACUACAAUUCCUCAACAUCAGCAACAUAAUCUCUGUCAUGUUCUCUAAAUGUGGAAACUCUGAACCUUCUCCA